rnacentral:rRNA from 1 species
CCCUUAGAUGCUCUGGGCCGCACGCGCGCUACACUGGUCGAUGCAACGAGUUUCUUUCCUUGGCCGACAGGCCUGGGCAAUCUUUGAACAUCGAUCGUGAUCGGGAUAGAUUCUUGUAAUUUUUGAUCUUAAACGAGGAAUUCCUAGUAAACGCAAGUCAUCAGCUUGCAUUGAUUACGUCCCUGCCCUUUGUACACACCGCCCGUCGCACCUACCGAUUGAGUGAUCCGGUGAAUAAUUCGGACCACUGCUAAGCCCAGCAAUGGAAUUAGCGGAGGGAAGUUUAGUGAACCUUAUCACUUAGAGGAAGGAGAANUCGUAACA